rnacentral:rRNA from 1 species
AUGAUGACUUCCAAUGAGCAGAAACAAAGCAACGAGGCGCCGACUCCCGAGCUGCCGGACGAGCUCGUUUCAGAUAUCCUGACCCGACUGCCGGUCAAGUCUCUCCUCCGUUUUAAGUGCAUCAGCAAGGCCUGGUGCGCAACCAUAUCCGACCCCUCCUUCAUCCGGCGGCACCUCAAGAUGUCCGCCGCCUGCAGAUGGGAGCAGAACCCACCCUUCCUCAUCACCCGGCACAGCCUGGAUUACGACGGCAAAGGAGACAUCGGGUUCUGCCAGUGGCAGCAAGGCACCUCCGAGGCUUGGCUCGUGCACAGCAGGGACUGUACUAGCUACUUCAACUUGGUUCUCUUCUUCCCCCAUUGUGACGGCUUGGUGCUUGUCCCCACAGACACCACGGCGUACCUUUUCAACCCCGCCACCAGGGACAUCGUCACGCUGCCGGAGAGCAGCCACGGCAUUGUGCCCCCUUCCCUCCGCCCCAUUGGGUUUGGCCAUGAUCUUCGCAGUGGCAUGUACAAGGUAGUCCAGUUCUUCCUUCGUUCGAGAGACGAUGAGUUCUACAACGGGGUGGAGGUGUGCACGGUGGGCGACCCUGCUCCUCCUCAAUGGAGGGAAAUCAUGGCGGAUCGGUGGUACACAGCCGAUCCAUGGGUAACCGCGCAAUCGGUCAAUGGGGGUGUGUACUGGAUCGUCCAUGUUGACAACUAUACCGGCCUGGAGCCGCAUCCACGUUGCCUCCUCCGCUUCGGCUUGGACGAUGAGGCAUUGAGCCACAUCCAUUUGCCUUCUGAACUGUCCGACCCCGAAGACGAUGACAACAAUGUUGAUAAAAGCUUCAAGUUGAGUGUGUUGCAGGGAGAGUUGUGUCUAACCGCUUAUCGCGCCAGAGGGCAUCGACUGAUGGUGGUCUGGGCGCUCGUGGAAGACGAGGCAAGCUUCGUCUGGGAACCGCGUCACACGUUGAAUGGCAUGGACCCGUGCCACCCAAUCGCUUUUCUUCCGGGCACAUUGUUGCUAUGGUUCUAUGGCAAGCUCUGCAUCUACGACCUGCGGUCACGUGAGCUGACAAAUGUUUGUGACUUCAGCUGGCUAAGAUAUCGGAGUCAUGGCUCAGGUGAACUUGAGCCUGCUUGGAACAGUUUGCCCUUCUUCGACGUGAUACCCUAUACAGAAAGUCUUGUUCCAGUCGGUGCUCACCCGGCUUGA